UUAGUCAAUGCUCGCAAGAGUGAACUAGCUAACUGAAAUCACAGGAUCCGCUACGUGCGGUGAAUGUAAUAACGUAAGGGAAAAAAAUGAUAUUACCUUACUAUUAGUGUUGUCCAAAACUGGUGCCAGAAGACUCGGUAAGACCAGAGACGCAAACGUUAGUCGUCCUAAUCAGGCGUAAAGGGUAUGUAGGCUGUUUUAAAAGUUUUAUAUUUAAUAGCUAAUGUAAGAAAUAUAUUUUAAUUUUAAUUUUAAUUUUAAUUUUAUAUCUCUACAAAAUAAUAAGAUGAAUUAAAGCUAGGAUCAAAUUGAGGAUAAUAAAAAUAAUACCUAGUGUAGGGUUUAAAUCUGUUGAUGUUAGGUAGAGUACUAACGGUGAAAGCUUUUUAUCUAGAAAUGAUUGACGCUGAGAAACGAAGGUGAGAAUAGGAAAUAGGAUUAGAUACCCAGAUACCUCUCACAGUCAACGAUGAAUGGUGGUUGUUAGUUAGUUUUACUUAACUGAUAACGAUGUUAACACGAUAACCAUUCCGCCUUGCGAGUACGGUUGCAAAACUGAAACCAAAAAAAUUAGUCGGUCUCGAAGCAAACGAAGUGAAGCAUGUUAUUUAAUUC
rnacentral:rRNA from 1 species